UUUUCAAAGUUAGGAACUUGUCUCAAGACGCUCUAACGUUACCUAGUAACGGUAGUUAGCUUAAAUGCUAGCGUUAGCUAACGUUAGCUUAAUUGACGCCAACGUCACACCAAACCGUUAGCUACCGUUAUUACCGUUAUUACCUGUUGAGUCCACGUUUGUGAAAAGGUUUAAGCCGGAAGGAGACACUUAACAGACUUCAGGGGGGACAGACUUCAACGUAACACCGAAACAGGCCUAGGAGGAUCCUUAUGAUUCAGCUGUAAAUGAGAAGCCAUGGUCGUCAGCUCCUUUGGGAAUCUCCACCCCUUUGAAAAGAAAAUAGAGGUUAAAAAUCUGCUAAACGAGUUAGCAGCAACCAGGAUCCUUCUCGUCCACAGGAGGAGGCAGGCGUUCCACAAGGCAUUAAUGGGAACUGCUGUCAGUGUGAGAGGAAGCUUGUUUGCAUUUUACUCAGCCGGCAGAAUACAAGAGAAAACAGGCCUGUGUGGUAUCACAUGUGGAGGCGGCUGAACGGGUCAAAACUGUCUACAUGGAUGAGCUCAAAGGUCAGAGUGGCCUCAUGAAGGUCUCACAGGAGUCUGACGGCUUCAUCGGAGGAGGAGGAGCCACUGACUCAGAUCUCAAAACUGCCCUUGUGCAGGGAGACGAUUUCUCAUCAGGCACCAGCAGCCGGAGCACCAAGCUCAUUCACGGAGGAGUCCGAUAUCUACAGAAAGCCAUCAUGAAAUUGGAUUACAAACAGGCUCUGAGGCGUCUACUCCUCAUCCCUGCAUUCCCUGCCUCUUCCCAAGGAGCAGCUCCCCUUCCCGGUGCAGGAGAGGGGAGGGGAGAUGAGGGGCGGUCGGGAGGGGCGGUCGGGAGGGGGGGCCCACACUCAGGCCAAAGGGCCACUGUGGCUUUAAGUGUGCUCCUUGUGUGGCCAGAGCAGCCAUCGCGCUGAUGCAAAGUGACAGGGACAGAUGUGACAUAUCGGUUCCGACACACUUCCAUACCACCAGUCACAGGCUCGGGGUGACUCACAUCCCCCUGCUCUGGUCCUGUCCCCCCGCUGCAGGACAACACGACGAUGCUCGAAUGAACCUCGCCAUCGCCCUCACUGCUGCCAGGUAUGGGGCUGCCAUAGCCAAUUACACUGAAGUGGUGCACCUACUGGAGAGGGCAGACCCUCAGACGGGGAAGGAGAGGGUCUGCGGAGCGCACUGCGGGGAUGGGAUCACAGUUUCAAAAGGCUCCCUCAGUCACUGCCACUGAGCUACUCUGUGACACAAAGAGGCAAGAGGGAAAUUAGGGCAGGAAUUUGAUGUCAGAGCCAAAUGUGUUAUCAAUGCCACGGGACCUUUUACAGACGCGCUGCGGAAAAUGGAUGAUCAGAAGAACCCCGACAUCUGUCAGCCCAGUGCUGGGGUGCACAUCGUCAUCCUGGGCUAUUACAGUCCCGUCAGCAUCCUGUCACGUCAUCUUCUUACUGGGAAAGGAUGCACAAACACACCCACACACAGCGAAACCAUCCCCGUGGAGGAGGACAUCAACUUCCACUACCCAACUACUUCAGCCAGGACAUAGAAAGUGGUCCAACAUCUGGCCUCUACCUACAGAGUGGUCAGCAGGGCUCAUAUGACCUAAGAAAAUUUGGCCGAGCCUUGUCUUGAUCCUGACCAAAGCAAUGAGAAAUACAAGUUUUGUCCGGCUAGCAUCCUGUGUUGGACGGCUACUUGAAGCCCUGUGCCAUGAGACGAGCUCAGACGGAUGGAUUUCAACACUAAUCCGUUUGAUGUGGAUGCGAGAUCUCAUCGAGCUGCUGCGAGGCACUUGAGGCAGCCUGAGCCGCCGAGUACAAUAAGAAACAAGACAGAGGUAGCGCAUGCUGGUAUCAUCAGGUCAGGAGAUAGUGAGGAUGUUGAGCAAUAGACACAUUGUUGGACCCCUGCGGCAGCUGUCAGUUUGAGUGAACUGCAACCUUGAGCGGACAGAAGAAUAAGUUGGACCCUGUGUGGAUGACAAAUUCCUGGGCUAGUUUGGAAGCAGGAGUGCUGCAGGGGAAGGCAGUGGCUGGUCUGCGAUGGGGGGCCAACCAGCAGAAAACUCAUUUGGAAUUCAGCACUGCAACAUUGCCAUCUUUUGGCCAGACUCUGUAAAAUCCCAGGGAUACUCCAUCUCCAAACCCAUACUGAAGUCUUGAGGCAGCCUGACACAAAGCGUGUUUGGUCCUCCUGUCAUUGAGAAUGAAGCUCCAGUGCCUAAUUAAAUGUAUUUAGCAUCAUAAAUAUUCCAGGGGGACAGGUUGACACAAUGAAUUAAUGUCUCGCCUCAAUACCAGAGCCUCUCUAUUGGCUGUGGAGAGAAAGUUAGCCCGAUGCCAGAGCUCUAUGAGGAGUAUAGGAGCCGAGACAGGCGGGAUCAAACAGUAGAAUUGAAGUCGGUGAAUCCAGCCCCAUGGAGGAGGACGGAGACAUAAAAGACAGGCUAAGGAGAAGACAAGGCCUCAGCUGUGCUCCGCACUGAUCUACACACUGCGAUUACCUGGAGCAGAGACCGAAUGUAAAGGCCUUGGGCUGUCUUUGAUAUUUCCAUCUUUCGUUUGUCUGCUGUGACCUGGACUACAUCUAACAGACCUAGACUGGAGGUCAGUAGGAAUCAAGGGAGAGGAGAGGAGAAAUUAAAAUUAGAAAAGGGGCACAGUUGAAGAUUUCCACUUCUUUUUUUACCCCAGACGCUGACACUUGAUAUGGCCAAGCACAUAUAGGGUUUUCCUUUCCCUCCUUAUUUAACUCGCACACACCAACACUCAUUAUAGUUACCUUUUUGUCUAGUAUUUGAUGCCAUUACCACUCCCACCCCAGCAAUAAGAGAACCAACUUUAUUCUGUCAGGGUGCUUAUUAAAAGUUUACAUAUUCACACCUCUGUGACCCUUAAUGAGGAUGAAGGGAGACUUGUCCUCACUUUAUGACAAACUAUAGGUAAUAAGGUGUAGAUGAAUUAAACAAGCUGCCCUAUAGUCUGUGCACAAUUACUCAAGAAGCAAAUGAGAAAUUGGAUAUCAAGUCUAGUAUAUGUCUGGUAAGCAUACAUACAGAAUAAGGCUGUCUUUUGUCUUGGCUGGCAUGCAUUUCUAAAGUCACGUGCUGUAACGGACAGUGCCUAUAGACUUUCAGACGGGGGUAGUGGCUAAACGGUGUCCUUCAGUUAACAAGGUAUCAAGGUCCAACCUGAUCUCACGAGAAGGAAUAUAAAUUCUAUAUAAUAUAUUUUUCCGCCACGCAACAAAACCAUGAUAACAUCCACACUUUUUGUUGUUUAGGCAACAAAACCACUUAGUUAGGUUUAGGAAAAACAUCAUGGUUGGGCUUAAAAUGACUACGUACACUAAGUAAAAUAUGUACAGAAACAAUGUAACAUGAGAACAGAAAAGAUGUCACUAACGUAACGUAACACUUUGGGACACGAACACUGGAUUCCUGGUUGAAAGUCCUGCUUGUUCUCAUAUUAUUGCAUAAAAAGGGUGACUAAGUGAAUGUUAAGACAUUAGUAUCUUGAUUCAGACUGAAAUGUAGACAAACAGGUAGAUGAAAAGAUCUAGAUAGAUAUGAUAAUUGUAUAUUUGAAUGGUAUUUAAUUAAUGGGUUAAUUUGUUUGAUGGAACAGAUGCAGGAUUAUAAUAAAUUAAAGAAAUCCACUGUAUAUAAUAAUAAGAGAAAAAAGUUACUUGAUGGAUCAAGUCCGGCUACUGCUUGUGAAUUUAACUGCAUUUUAAAUCUGCCAUAGCUUUCAUAGACAGCUCACAACCGUUUCUCAAAACAUGUUUUUGUGUGUAGAGUAAUACAGCCGAGCUCAAAUUUCUCUCGUCCCUUCAAGCGCAAAAUACAAAAGGCCUAGGCUGCCACCACCUGAUUCAAUCAAGUGUGUUACAUUGUAUACCCAUGGGCAACAAGGCAACUUGUAUUUUAAUUAAUAAUGUAAUACCCUGGUCUCAGAGCCUUGACCCCUGGCAGUCCUGCUGCUUUUUUUGUAAAUACUCUCAAGAUCCCAGCAAAGAUGCUGGGAGCAUUUUUCUCCACACUCCAACUCAUGCAACUGGAUUUGAUAAAUAAAGCUUGAAACUAACACUGUAGCGUUUUCAAGCACUAUGUGAGUGAAGAGAAACAUGUUUUUUUAGCAUUAUGUGAUAUCUCGGUAACCAAGUAAAAUAUGACAUUAAUUAGGGAAAGAAUAAUUAGAAGAAGAAACCAAGGAAUGAGCACUAAUACUGGAGAAGGAUGGGGAAGGAGAUUAAAACUGCAAAAUAAAUGUUUUAGAAAAUAAAAAUGUACUGGGAUGAGAAAAUAUCCCAUGUAAGCAGAGUACAUGGUGUGAAUGAAAGUUAAUGUUAAGGGCUAUGAAGACAGAGACAUGGCCGUGGGUGCUAUGUUGUGAGGAAUAACAUGCACAGUGAAGGGUAAACGCACGCUUCUUUGGAGAUCCUGGACCGGAAAGAAGCCUGAGGGAGCUCAAGGGCUUGUGGGAUACGGGCUGUAUUCAACCUUUCUCUGCAGCCACACACACACCACAACAACAGGGAAUGAUGGCACUUUUACAGUAUGCCAUGAGAAGCACUGACUCAUUCGUUCACACAUAACAAACAUGUUAACUAAACAUAUAAAAGCAAAUGACUGACUGACUCACAGGAAGUCAUGGGAAAACGUCAGAAAUGACUGCAGCCAUGUGUUUCGCCAUAGCAUAACAGAUGUGAGACAAUUAAUGUAUUUUCAUGUGCAAAAAAAAAAAAGAAAGAUCAGUUACCAGCCAAUGAUUAUAUCAUUAAUAUAUAUUGUUUAUAUAUAAUUUUAUCAAUGGUUGUUUUAAAAGUAUUCAUAAUUUUUAAACGACAACUGACAGAAUAUCAAACAAGCAAGUAUAAAACAAUUUUCUGAAAUCACAAAUUAAAUUUUUAACAGAACAAACAUUUUAAUUAGCCAACAUGAGCUCAGCCACAAGUAAAUCUAAAGUGAUUAUUCCUGCCCUGAGAGAAAGGCUGUCUCCCUGCGCUCUGUCAAAAGGUCAAUUAUGGCCCCAAACCGGCAUGCAGUGACAGUGACCUGGAAGCGCUACUGAUGACCCCACAUCCAGGGGCCCAAAAGAGUUGAUCAUCUAACAUGCAGGCUGCCCGGAGCCAUGGAAAUCUGACAUUUGUCCUUAUUCAAAUGAACACAAACAAUAUGCAUCUCAUGCCUCUCCCUAACCUGUGCCAAAUCUAAGGCAUAGGGACCAGCAGUCUUAAUGCAUUGUCCUCCGAUCCAAGUCCAUGCCCUUCCCUGUGAACACAGCCACACAGCAAUCACACACUGAGCCUGCAGUAAGAGCAGACUGCAAGAAGGCGCCAUCUUCACCAGCAGCUACACUAACACGGGUUAUUAUUGUUCUGGUCUACAGUACUGGGGUCACAAAAUGGACUGGGGUCAUACAGUAAAGGAAAUGUUAAGGGUGAGAACAAUUCAAGUUAUACGUACUGCAAAAAAAAACAAACAUUUUUCAUGUUGAUGCUGGCUGUCAUUGAAGGAUCUAAAAUCUAAAUCCUUAAAGAGGCUACAAUCAAUUGUUAAUAACAAUAGAUCAAAUGACUGAAUGUGAAAGGGGUUGUUCAUAGUGAUGAACCCACAAAGAAUUAACACCUGACUCGGCAGGUGCCCUCAGUUUGACUGAGCUUUAUUGCGUCUUUGAGCUCAUUGUUUUGGUUUUCCGACCUGCAGCUUCACUGUUUUGGUUCAGUCCAACCCCGUCUCAUAAUAAUUAUGUUCCCAUACAACUAAACUACAUUGUC